rnacentral:rRNA from 1 species
GUCCACGCCGUAAACGAUGGGCACUAGGUCCUUGGGGGAGCGACCCCUUGAGGGCCGGCGCUAACGCAUUAAGUGCCCCGCCUGGGGAGUACGGCCGCAAGGCUGAAACUCAAAGGAAUUGACGGGGGCCCCGCACAAGCGGUGGAGCAUGUGGUUUAAUUCGACGCAACGCGAAGAACCUUACCUGGGCUUGACAUGCACGGGAACUCGUGGGGAAACCUGCGGGGCUCUUCGGAGCUCGUGCACAGGUGCUGCAUGGCUGUCGU